rnacentral:rRNA from 1 species
UGGGGAAUAUUGGACAAUGGGCGAAAGCCUGAUCCAGCCAUGCCGCGUGUGUGAAGAAGGUCUUCGGAUUGUAAAGCACUUUAAGUUGGGAGGAAGGGCAGUUACCUAAUACGUAUCUGUUUUGACGUUACCGACAGAAUAAGCACCGGCUAACUCUGUGCCAGCAGCCGCGGUAAUACAGAGGGUGCAAGCGUUAAUCGGAAUUACUGGGCGUAAAGCGCGCGUAGGUGGUUUGUUAAGUUGGAUGUGAAAUCCCCGGGCUCAACCUGGGAACUGCAUUCAAAACUGACUGACUAGAGUAUGGUAGAGGGUGGUGGAAUUUCCUGUGUAGCGGUGAAAUGCGUAGAUAUAGGAAGGAACACCAGUGGCGAAGGCGACCACCUGGACUGAUACUGACACUGAGGUGCGAAAGCGUGGGGAGCAAACAGGAUUAGAUACCCCCGUAGUCCCUGAGCGGGCUGGCAAGGCGCAU